rnacentral:lncRNA from 1 species
AAUGCUAACAAUUAGUAUGGUGGUUCUUGAUAACAGCAAUGAUGGCUUACAAGACAGUACUAGCAGCAAGAAACGUGCAGAAGGUUGCUCAUAUGUUCCUUCACUUGGUAGCGAUCACUUUGGGGAUUGUUGGAUUACACGCUGUGUUCAAAUUCCAUGACAGGGCCAACAUAAGGAAUUUGUACAGCUUACAUUCCUGGAUAGGCAUCGGCACCUUCUCCCUCUACAUUUUACAGGUAAUUAAUGUAAAACUUGAGUAAUUCCAACCUCUUAUGUUUAAUCACUUCUUAAAUUAUAUCGUGAAGUUUAUUUUCUGGACGAGACAAUAUUACUUGUAUAGAAUACAAUAGCCCCACAAUGUUAGUGGACUAAAUGUAACACUAGAGUAAAAAAACAAAAAACUUUCAUGAAAUUGGAGAAUAUUAUGAGUAAGAAUGUCAUUAUAAAGUGCUUGUUGUAUAGUUAAAAAAUACACGCAUUAACAAAUAUGGGAGUGUCAAUAAUAGCUUUCAUAUGUGUGUAUAUGUAUGUAUGUAUGUACAUUCGUAUCAGUAAAUUGCAUUUACACAUUUUAGACUUAUUCUAGAUUUGAUUUGCAGUGGUUAUUUGGGUUCAUUACGUUCAUGAUUCCACAAUCCUCGAUCGACGGUAGGGCGAGGGCAGUCCCAUGGCAUAUUUCUGGUGGUAGAGCACUGUUGUACAUGGCAAUCUGUGCAGCAGAGACUGGAUUGAUGGAGAAAGUAACAUUUUUGGAACUACAACAUGGCAGAGAAACUCUAUUGGUUAACUUUCUUGGACUGGCAAUUCUUCUAUUUGGAAUUACGGUUGAUGUUUCUGUUGCGCUUGCACGUUAUCGAUAACUAUGGCUUGUUCAUGAGGACACAAUAAGGACAAUUUCUUCACAACACAUCCAGUUUGGCAAACUAGUAUGAUAACUUUGUUCCAAAAAAAAAAAAGUUGGUUUAUUGGAGAGGUGAAUUUUUCUUUCCUACAUUGGAAAUUAUUGUGAAGUUAAGAACUCAAGGAAGUGAGUUUUGCGAGAAAGUUUGAGUUUAUUUAUUUAUUCAUGUACUAGGAAAAAUCAUCUGUUGGAUGAUACAGGUUUGAUGUAUAUACUUAUUUUAAAAGAAAUAAAUUAAAAUGUUUACAAGGAAAAAAGCCGGGGGGAGGGGGUUAUAAUGUUUGAAUUUCUUUGUUUGUAGCCAGCAUGUCUCAAGCGUACAAGCAAUUAUCAUUGAAUGAAUAUAUAUACAAGUAGAGGCGUAAAUGAGUUUAAUUAAACUGAACACUUUAGUAUUCAUUCUUGUUUGAUUAUUUUAACAAGUUUGAAAUUUCGUUUAAAUUUAAUUAAUUUAUUUAACAAAUCAUGUUUGAAUGAAUUUUUAUUGAGUCAAACUCGAGUAGAUUAAGAUUUUUACAUAUAAAAUCUAAUUUUAUACUAAACAAAAUAAGAUCCAUCUGACUUUCAAAGUUUAUUGAAUAUAAAACGUUUUCAAGUUUGGUUUAACUAAUUAGUAAACCAAACUCAAAUAAACUUUUAUUAAGACGAACUCGAUUCAAAUAUUGAAUAAUUUGGUUUAUAUUUCAACUCUAUAUAUAAGUUGCGAUGGUAUUACAAACAGAUGAUAUUGAGAAUUACAAAUUGCAGCUAUACAAAAUCAAAUUGUAAAUUAUAUUAUGUGAGAGUUUAGAUGAUUUAGGAUGUUAAAGAAUGGGAGAGGGGGAUGGGUCGGGUGAGUUUGAAACUUUCUACUUAUACCUUAAGAAAAAAAAAAAAGAUGUUAAAGAAUGGGAGUGAAUAUUUCUAAGAUUUAGAGAGGAGAUAAAAAACUAGAUAACAACAAUAUUAUACUAUUGUCUUACCCCAAAAGAAAAAUUAUACUAUCAUAAAAGGGAAUAAAUACUCUAACGAAAACAAUAGAACGGCUAUUGGUUCCCCUCAGUUUUUAAAACUUCAGAUCACAAUAACGAAAUUGACAAAAUUUUAAAGUAGUCUCUUGCACUAGUCCAUCUCUUGCUCAAAAUAAAGAUAUUUAUCAGACCAAAAGGGGCGAUAUCAACAGCAAUAAAUUUCUGAAUUUCCUUUUUAAUUGAUUUUGUGAAUGCAUGAGCUUUUUUUUUUUAACCAAAAUAACUCUCUUUCUAAAAAUAUUACCAAUGUGAUUCAUUUCCAAAUUUUAUUUUCGUAAUGAUGUUAUUAUUGUCACCUAAUUAUCCUCAUUGCCAUGUAGAAUAACAAAAAAGGAAAGUUUCAAUCUUUGUUGUCACGUUGAUCUAUUUAUUGCCACGUAGAUUCCCAAAUUAAACGAAAAUGACCAUGUGUGAAUAUUUGGUUAGAAAUAUCCAAUCUACCAACAAUUGUACUCUUAUUUUCUACUACCAUUGUAUCUCUUAGAAUUUUGCGUAACUAUUAUAUUGCAAUUCUUUUCUUUUUUUUUAAUUAUAUCUAUAAUAAAGUUAUGAUUUUAUUCAUUUUAGUAUUUUGUAGUGUUCAUAAAUUCGGGACAAAAGAGUGUUCAAAAUUGAAUUUGACAUAAAAGAAUUCCAUGUCCAAAGCAAAAAAAAGUGAAGAAAAUCUCUUGCAUUCAAAAACCACAAUUAUUAGAAUAAGAAUUUAACCUUGAAAAUAUCAAGAAUAACAUAAUAUAAGAGUCAAGACUUGUAACCAUUGAUCUUUGGAAGAACAGGCAUUGCAUUCUGAGAAAAAUCAAACUGUCAUUCUUGUUCAUUCAUUAAAAUAAAAAGAAUGAUUAAUAUAAUGGGGAUGGAUCCUAUAAGAAAUGGAAAAUAUAAGAUUUUGGGUCCGUUCGUUUCGGGUGAAAAUGUUUUCCAGGAAAAUAUUUUCCUAAUUUCCCGUGUUUGGUUGCACAAAAGUUAUUGAAAACAUUUUCCUAUGUAAUAUAUUUUCACCCAUCUUAUGGAAAACAACUUCCCUUCCAAACUUACUGAAGUUGUUUUCCGAAAUGCAUGCAUCCCGCCUGUAGUAUGUUCCAAACUUACUGAAAACAUCUUGUAGUAUGUUCUUUUUUUUUUUAGUGUAAAUAGGAGGACUUGAACCCAAGACCUCUUCCUUACACUCCCUCUCCCGUACCACCCAAUCCAACCCAACCCUCCCCUAGUAUAUUCAAAAUUAAAAAAAAAAAAACUCAUCCUGCUUAUCCUAUGCUAGUAAUUAAUUAUCUAUAAUAGGGACAUUCUUUUCUAGAGAAACUUUCAGCAGUGAGAGUGCAAGAUAUAUGUCACAAUAAGCAUUGCAUGUGAUUGAUAUUUGACACUAAAUGGCCAGCAAUUUGUUUAUUGCUUAAGGAGAUAUUUUUUAUUCAUAUAUAUAUUUCUCCAAGAUUUUUUAAAGUUAAAUAAUGAGAUAAAUUUUCUUAUUUUGCAUGGGAAGAAGUCUGUAGUUAUAAUGUGUAGAAAGUAAAGAUAGAGAUAAAAGUGAAAAUAUUUCAAAAGUUAAACAAACACCAGAAAAAUGAAGUAAGAGAAUAUUUUCAAUAAGCUAACCAAACACCUGAAAAUGAUGAAAGGGAAAUGAUUUUCAUGAAAAAUUACUUCCACGGAAAAUAUUUUCCCAAGAAAAAUAUUUUCCUUCCAACCAAACAGACUCUUCGUGGAAUUAGUUUUCCAUUCUGGGCGUGUACGUUGUAAUAUAUACAUUAGAAAAGAAAUAAAGUUUUUGAUUGUAUUAGUUUAGAAAUAUUUUAUGAAUAGAAGACUAUUUUGGCAAAAAAAAAAAAAAAACUCCGAAUGCAUAUGAUCCUUGACUUCAUUCUCUAACAUUGGCUAUUGAAUGAAAUAAGUUAUGAAUCUUUCAUCAAUUAUAAAUAUUUACUACAUGUAUCAUAUUCCCGUUAUAAAUUAAUGUGUUGUUAGACUUUUUUUAUUUGACAAAAAAUGAAUUUCUUUCAACGUCCAUCUAUAAUUAGAAAAUUAGUAAAAAAAAAGUUAAAAAAUUACUAAAAUCAAAACAACAAAAACUACAAUUAAUUUCUUUCUGUUUAAUACUCUUUUCUUUCCUCUCGAAAUAAUUUUCAUCCAAGCUUAACCUUCUAACUUUUUUAUCAUCCACUGGGAACUUAAAACAAGUUUGAACUUCAAGAGCUUCCAUAUUUCUUGGAAAAGAUUUGUCCCCACUCAAUUUGUCGAGUUAGAAGAACUGUUUCAGGUACUCCAUACUCUG